rnacentral:rRNA from 1 species
GACGAACGCUGGCGGCGUGCUUAACACAUGCAAGUCGAGCGGAAAGGCCCUUUCGGGGGUACUCGAGCGGCGAACGGGUGAGUAACACGUGAGUAAUCUGCCCCUGGCUUUGGGAUAGCCACCGGAAUCGGUGAUUAAUACCGGAUACGACCACUUCUCGCAUGGGAUGGUGGUGGAAAGUUUUUCGGCCAGGGAUGUGCUCGCGGCCUAUCAGCUUGAUGGUGAGGUAAUGGCUCACCAUGGCUUCGACGGGUAGCCGGCCUGGGAGGGUGACCGGUCACACUGGGACUGAGACACGGCCCAGACUCCUACGGGAGGCAGCAGUGGGGAAUAUUGGACAAUGGGCGGAAGCCUGAUCCAGCAACGCCGCGUGAGGGAUGACGGCCUUCGGGUUGUAAACCUCUUUCAGCAGGGACGAAGCGCAAGUGACGAUACCUGCAGAAGAAGCACCGGCCAACUACGUGCCAGCAGCCGCCGUAA